UACGGGGGGGGCAAGCGUUGUUCGGAAUUACUGGGCGUAAAGGGCUCGUAGGUGGCCAACUAAGUCAGACGUGAAAUCCCUCGGCUUAACCGGGGAACUGCGUCUGAUACUGGAUGGCUUGAGUUUGGGAGAGGGACGCGGAAUUCCAGGUGUAGCGGUGAAAUGCGUAGAUAUCUGGAGGAACACCGGUGGCGAAGGCGGCAUCCUGGACCAUGACUGACACUGAAAAGCGAAAGCCAGGGGAGCAAACGGG
rnacentral:rRNA from 1 species